CCUACGGGAGGCAGCAGUGAGGAAUAUUGGUCAAUGGACGCGAGUCUGAACCAGCCAAGUAGCGUGAAGGAUGACUGCCCUAUGGGUUGUAAACUUCUUUUGUAUGGGAAUAAAAUGGUCCACGUGUGGGCUUUUGUGUGUACCCGAUGAAAAAGGAUCGGCUAACUCCGUGCCAGCAGCCGCGGUAAUACGGAGGAUGCGAGCGUUAUCCGGAUUUAUUGGGUUUAAAGGGAGCGUAGGUGGAAUGUUAAGUCAGCUGUGAAAGUUUGCGGCUCAACCGUUAAAUUGCAGUUGAAACUGGGAGUCUUGAGUACAGUAGAGGUAGGCGGAAGUCGUGGUGUAGCGGUGAAAUGCUUAGAUAUCACGAAGAACUCCGAUUGCGAAGGCAGCUCACUGGAGUGCAACUGACGCUGAGGCUCGAAAGUGUGGGUAUCAAACAGGAUUAGAUACCCGAGUAGUC
rnacentral:rRNA from 1 species